AAGGAUCAUUCACAAUUGCAAAGUGAAUUAUGGCACUUUACAAAAAAAAAUCCAUAUCCACCUUGUGUGCAACGUUUGUGUCCUUGACUCUUGUGAGAGAGGAAGAGGACACUUUCAUCAACCAAUUUUUUCUUAAAGCUAGAAUCGUCUGAAGAAAACAGUUUUUAAAAUUAAAAAACAACUUUCAACAACGGAUCUCUUGGCUCUC
rnacentral:misc_RNA from 1 species